rnacentral:rRNA from 1 species
CAAUCCCUUCGGGAUGAAUUAAGUGGAACGAGCGGCGGACGGGUGAGUAACACGUGGGCAACCUACCUAUAAGACUGGGAUAACUCGCGGAAACGUGAGCUAAUACCGGAUAAUACUUUUUAUUGCAUAAUAAGAAGUUUGAAAGGCGGCGUAAGCUGUCACUUAUAGAUGGGCCCGCGGCGCAUUAGCUAGUUGGUGAGGUAAAGGCUCACCAAGGCAACGAUGCGUAGCCGACCUGAGAGGGUGAUCGGCCACACUGGGACUGAGACACGGCCCAGACUCCUACGGGAGGCAGCAGUAGGGAAUCUUCCGCAAUGGACGAAAGUCUGACGGAGCAACGCCGCGUGAGUGAAGAAGGUUUUCGGAUCGUAAAACUCUGUUGUUAGGGAAGAACAAGUCAGGUAGUAACUGACCUGACCUUGACGGUACCUAACCAGAAAGCCACGGCUAACUACGUGCCAGCAGCCGCGGUAAUACGUAGGUGGCAAGCGUUGUCCGGAUUUAUUGGGCGUAAAGCGCUCGCAGGCGGUCUUUUAAGUCUGAUGUGAAAGCCCACGGCUUAACCGUGGAGGGUCAUUGGAAACUGGAGGACUUGAGUGCAGAAGAGGAGAGUGGAAUUCCAUGUGUAGCGGUGAAAUGCGUAGAGAUAUGGAGGAACACCAGUGGCGAAGGCGACUCUCUGGUCUGUAACUGACGCUGA